rnacentral:rRNA from 1 species
GAUGAACGCUGGCGGCGUGCCUAAUACAUGCAAGUCGAACGCAUCACUUCGGUGAUGAGUGGCGAACGGGUGAGUAAUACAUAAGUAAUCUAGCCUCUGGAGGGGGAUAACUAUUGGAAACGAUAGCUAAGACCGCAUAGGCAUAGGCAUCGCAUGAUGAAUAUGUUAAAUAUCCCACGGGAUAGCGAGAGGAUGGACUUAUGGCGCAUUAGCUGGUUGGUGAGGUAGAGGCUCACCAAGGCGACGAUGCGUAGCCGACCUGAGAGGGUGGACGGCCACACUGGGACUGAGACACGGCCCAGACUCCUACGGGAGGCAGCAGUAGGGAAUUUUCGGCAAUGGGCGAAAGCCUGACCGAGCAACGCCGCGUGAGGGAGGAAGUACUUCGGUAUGUAAACCUCUGUUAUAAAGGAAGAACGGCAUAUGUAGGGAAUGACAUAUGAGUGACGGUACUUUAUGAGGAAGCCACGGCUAACUACGUGCCAGCAGCCGCGGUAACAC